UCGACUCACCCGCGGUAAGUGACGAUUACGAAUCUUCAAACCUACUGCAAUUAGGGAUUUCGAUAACCCGGCUUUGAUUCAUGAUUUGAUGUUCAAUUUUCCUGCUAAAUUUCACCUCACCUAUCUUUAGUCACUAAAUCAAUUAGGUGAAUUUUCAGCUAAGUAAGGGGUAAAAUGCAUAAUGUAGUUGGAUGUUGAUUGAACAUGUAUGAUGUCGAAGCAAUAAAUAGAAAUAUACUUUCUUUCUCAUGGGUAAACAGUUUGUUUCAAAAUCAGAGUCGCCAUUAAUGCAAUAACAUCAAAUUCUCGCAACUACAUCCAUCUUUAAUACUUACAAAUUUGAUUACCUUGUGACUGAUUUUUAUUCUGCAGAAUUGGAUCAACUUCUAGCAGAUGCACCAUCACCUUUCAUUAUGCAGCAUGCUGCAAAAAUAUCUGGUGUUAAAAAACGAGUAUCAUCUCUAAAUUUAGUUUUGAAGUC
rnacentral:lncRNA from 1 species